GGAGGCAACUCUGACCCAGCCAUGCCGCGUGCAGGAAGACGGCCCUAUGGGUUGUAAACUGCUUUUAUAGAGGAAGAAACCCUCCCACGUGUGGGAGGCUGACGGUACUCUACGAAUAAGGACCGGCUAACUCCGUGCCAGCAGCCGCGGUAAUACGGAGGGUCCAAGCGUUAUCCGGAAUCAUUGGGUUUAAAGGGUCCGUAGGCGGGCAAUUAAGUCAGAGGUGAAAUCCCACAGCUCAACUGUGGAACUGCCUUUGAUACUGGUUGUCUUGAGUUAUAUUGAAGUGAGUAGAAUAUGUAGUGUAGCGGUGAAAUGCUUAGAUAUUACAUAGAAUACCGAUUGCGAAGGCAGA
rnacentral:rRNA from 1 species